rnacentral:rRNA from 1 species
UCGAACGGUAACAGGAAGCAGCUUGCUGCUUUGCUGACGAGUGGCGGACGGGUGAGUAAUGUCUGGGAAACUGCCUGAUGGAGGGGGAUAACUACUGGAAACGGUAGCUAAUACCGCAUAACGUCGCAAGACCAAAGAGGGGGACCUUCGGGCCUCUUGCCAUCGGAUGUGCCCAGAUGGGAUUAGCUUGUUGGUGGGGUAACGGCUCACCAAGGCGACGAUCCCUAGCUGGUCUGAGAGGAUGACCAGCCACACUGGAACUGAGACACGGUCCAGACUCCUACGGGAGGCAGCAGUGGGGAAUAUUGCACAAUGGGCGCAAGCCUGAUGCAGCCAUGCCGCGUGUAUGAAGAAGGCCUUCGGGUUGUAAAGUACUUUCAGCGGGGAGGAAGGGAGUAAAGUUAAUACCUUUGCUCAUUGACGUUACCCGCAGAAGAAGCACCGGCUAACUCCGUGCCAGCAGCCGCGGUAAUACGGAGGGUGCAAGCGUUAAUCGGAAUUACUGGGCGUAAAGCGCACGCAGGCGGUUUGUUAAGUCAGAUGUGAAAUCCCCGGGCUCAACCUGGGAACUGCAUCUGAUACUGGCAAGCUUGAGUCUCGUAGAGGGGGGUAGAAUUCCAGGUGUAGCGGUGAAAAUGGCGUAGAAGAUUCGGGAGGAAAUACCCGGUGGCGAAAGGCGGCCCCCCUGGACGAAGACUGACGCUCAGGUGCGAAAGCGUGGGGAGCAAACAGGAUUAGAUACCCCUGGUAGUCCACGCCGUAAACGAUGUCGACUUGGAGGUUGUGCCCUUGAGGCGUGGCUUCCGGAGCUAACGCGUUAAGUCGACCGCCUGGGGAGUACGGCCGCAAGGUUAAAACUCAAAUGAAUUGACGGGGGCCCGCACAAGCGGUGGAGCAAGUGGUUUAAUUCGAUGCAACGCGAAGAACCUUACCUGGUCUUGACAUCCACAGAACUUUCCAGAGAUGAAUUGGUGCCUUCGGGAACUGUGAGACAGGUGCUGCAUGGCUGUCGUCAGCUCGUGUUGUGAAAUGUUGGGUUAAGUCCCGCAACGAGCGCAACCCUUAUCCUUUGUUGCCAGCGGUCCGGCCGGGAACUCAAAGGAGACUGCCAGUGAUAAACUGGAGGAAGGUGGGGAUGACGUCAAGUCAUCAUGGCCCUUACGACCAGGGCUACACACGUGCUACAAUGGCGCAUACAAAGAGAAGCGACCUCGCGAGAGCAAGCGGACCUCAUAAAGUGCGUCGUAGUCCGGAUUGGAGUCUGCAACUCGACUCCAUGAAGUCGGAAUCGCUAGUAAUCGUGGAUCAGAAUGCCACGGUGAAUACGUUCCCGGGCCUUGUACACACCGCCCGUCACACCAUGGGAGUGGGUUGCAAAAGAAGUAGGUAGCUUAACCUUCGGGAGGG